rnacentral:rRNA from 1 species
CACGUAGGGUGCGAGCGUUGUCCGGAAUUAUUGGGCGUAAAGAGCUCGUAGGCGGUGUGUCGCGUCGGCCGUGAAAACCUGCAGCUUAACUGUGGGCUUGCGGUCGAUACGGGCAUCACUGGAGUUCGGCAGGGGAGACUGGAAUUCCGGGUGUAGUGGUGGAAUACGUAGAUAUCCGGAGGAACACCAGCGGCGAAGGCGGCUUUCUGGUCCGAUUCUGACGCUGAGGCGCGAAAGCGUGGGGAGCGAUCCGG